AGUGAAGCGGCAACAGCUCAAUUUGAAAUCUGGCCUCUUUGGGGUCCGAGUUGUAAUUUGUAGAGGAUGUUUCGGGCACCGCUCCGGUUUAAAUUUCUUGGAACAGAAUGUCAAAGAGGGUGAGAACCCCGUCUUGGACCGGCAGUAGGGCCCAUGUGAAACUCCUUCGACGAGUCGAGUUGUUUGGGAAUGCAGCUCAAAAUGGGUGGUAAAUUUCAUCUAAAGCUAAAUAUUGGCCAGAGACCGAUAGCGCACAAGUAGAGUGAUCGAAAGAUGAAAAGCACUUUGAAAAGAGAGUUAAACAGUACGUGAAAUUGUUGAAAGGGAAGCGCUUGCAACCAGACUUGCGCGCGGCGGUUCCCCCUUCCUUUUGGUUGGGUUAUUCCGCCGUGUCCAGGCCAACAUCGGUUCUGGGGGUCGGUUAAAGGCCUGGGGAAUGUAUCUACCCUUCGGGCGUAGACUUAUAGCCCCGGGUGUCAUGCGACCUCCCGGGACCGAGGAACGCGCUUCGGCUCGGAUGUUGGCGUAAUGGUUGUCAGCGACCCGUCUUGAAACACGGA
rnacentral:rRNA from 1 species